rnacentral:rRNA from 1 species
CCUGCCUACGGGACGCAGCAGUGAGGAAUAUUGGUCAAUGGCCGGAAGGCUGAACCAGCCAAGCCGCGUGAAGGACGAAGGUGCCAAGCAUUGUAAACUUCUUUUGUCAAGGGACAAAAUCAGGCUCGAGAGCCUGACCGAGGGUACUUGAAGAAAAAGCAUCGGCUAACUCCGUGCCAGCAGCCGCGGUAAUACGUAGGGGGCGAGCGUUAUCCGGAUUUACUGGGUGUAAAGGGAGCGUAGACGGUUCUGCAAGUCUGAAGUGAAAGCCCGUGGCUUAACCGCGGAACGGCUUUGGAAACUGU